rnacentral:lncRNA from 1 species
CUUCAGCUUUGUUGGGAGGUUAAAAGCUUUCUUGUCAAAGGGAGCAGCAAAGACCCAAAGCUGAUUAAACACUGAGCAUCAAAGUUCUCUUUUCGGGAUUUCUUAGCCAAGUACCAACAAUGGAGAAAAUCAUUUGCAUUGAUGUGGCAGUCUACGAAACACCAGUUUGUCUCUUUGAAUUUUGAAACACAAAGAUAACCAUGGCUGCCUGGAAGUCCUGAUUUGAUGUAUUAUGGAGACUUGCAAAAUUCUGCAGCUACAGCAAAAAGAUCUUAACUCCUGUGUAGGCUGUCCCAGGAAGAUAGCACUGGUGUCUGACAAAAAGUUGUUUUCACAUGAGGAGGAAAAAGUAAAUGUUUCCAAAAAAGAAGCAGCAGAUGUAAUUGUCCCAUCACAACAUUCUUUCCAUUUUUUUUCCCCCUUAACCCAUGUAUUUGGGGAGCCAUGAGAUGUUUAAAUCAGGAUUCUACUUUGCCUACAUUCUCUCUGCAGCCAAAAGAGAAUAAAAUUGUCUCUGGAGAGCA